UACGUAGGUGACAAGCGUUGUCCGGAUUUACUGGGCGUAAAGAGCGCGCAGGCGGUCGUUCAAGUCGCGUGUGAAAGCCCCCGGCUCAACUGGGGAGGGUCACGCGAUACUGAUCGACUCGAAGGCAGGAGAGGGUAGUGGAAUUCCCGGUGUAGUGGUGAAAUGCGUAGAUAUCGGGGGGAACACCAGUGGCGAAGGCGGACUACCUGGCCUGUUUCUUGACGCUGAGGCGCGAAAGCUAGGGGAGCAAACGGG
rnacentral:rRNA from 1 species